rnacentral:snoRNA from 1 species
AUUCCGUGAUGGGGACAUUCUAGGAUGUAGUCUUGGAAGCGCUCCCAUGCUUCUAGAACAGAUUCAUCAUGUUGUUGCUGAAAACUUGUAAUCUUCCCACAGAGAGC